GUAGAUGCUGUUUGUCUCUGUAGGACAGUAGUUCAGGUGGCUGUUUGUGUAGAUGCUGUUUGUCUUUGUAGGACAGUAGUUCAGGUGGCUGUUUGUGUAGAUGCUGUUUGUCUUUGUAGGACAGUAGUUCAGGUGGCUGUUUGUGUAGAUGCUGUUUGUCUUUGUAGGACAGUAGUUCAGGUGGCUGUUUGUCUUUGUAGGACAGUAGUUCAGGUGACUGUUUGUGUAGAUGCUGUUUGUCUCUGUAGGACAGUAGUUCAGGUGGCUGUUUGUGUAGAUGCUGUUUGUCUUUGUAGGACAGUAGUUCAGGUGGCUGUUUGUGUAGAUGCUGUUUGUCUUUGUAGGACAGUAGUUCAGGUGGCUGUUUGUCUUUGUAGGACAGUAGUUCAGGUGGCUGUUUGUGUAGAUGCUGUUUGUCUUUGUAGGACAGUAGUUCAGGUGGCUGUUUGUGUAGAUGCUGUUUGUAUUUGUAGGACAGUAGUUCAGGUGGUUGCCCUUGCAGUUUAGUCUACCUCCUGUCCCUCCCAUCGUCAUGGUUACACCUUCCUGAAAACAAUGACUCCAUACUUUGCUGAAACCUGUUCUGCCAGU
ensembl:lncRNA